GACGAACGCUGGCGGCAGGCUUAACACAUGCAAGUCGAACGCCCCGCAAGGGGAGUGGCAGACGGGUGAGUAACACGUGGGAACGUACCCUUUGGUUCGGAAUAACUUGGGGAAACUCAAGCUAAUACCGGAUAAGCCCUUAUGGGGAAAGGUUUACUGCCGAAGGAUCGGCCCGCGUCUGAUUAGCUAGUUGGUGAGGUAAUGGCUCACCAAGGCGACGAUCAGUAGCUGGUCUGAGAGGAUGAUCAGCCACACUGGGACUGAGACACGGCCCAGACUCCUACGGGAGGCAGCAGUGGGGAAUAUUGGACAAUGGGGGCAACCCUGAUCCAGCCAUGCCGCGUGAGUGAUGAAGGCCUUAGGGUUGUAAAGCUCUUUUACCCGGGACGAUAAUGACUGUACCGGGAGAAUAAGCCCAGGCUAACUUCGUGCCAGCCGCCGCAGUAA
rnacentral:rRNA from 1 species